UAGCUGCUUUCGGAAGGUACAGUACACGGGAUAAAAAGGAAAGCUGCAAAAAAACGGGAGGGAAAUACUUUCGGUAUUGACUGAGAGGCUUUAUUAGCCGUUGAUGCAUGUCAGAAAACAAAUUUUAACAUGCCGGUCCCGUGUUUUGCAGCAAACGGAAAAACUGCUACGGACCUGAGGCUGCGAUAGGCAGAGGAUAUUUAUUGAGAAUAAUUUGCAGACCAGGAUCCCAAUGCAAGUUCUCCAUUAAGCGGAGUGAUCAGGAUCUGAGUAUCAUUGACACUUAACAGUGAAAGGAAAGAGGUUUAACCAUUCUAUGCGUGGGAGAAUACUCCUGGACCUUUCGUGAUCUAAUCCCGUAACAGUGUGAGCUGCUACAAUGCACAUGCUAGUAAAAGCAUAAGAGGACAGAUGAGAUGAGUGCAUGGCUGGAGCUAUAACUUAAAAAGAUUUGGAUUCCUGAGGCAUUGAGACUGUUUGUUUGUUUCUGGGGAAGGUGGGACAUGCACAAGCUUGAACAAUUGUCCUGGGCAGAGCUGGGACAGAUAUUCUUGUUGAUGCUUUUGCUAGUUCCACUGGUGAGGAUUUAAACUCGUAUGACAGGGGAAUGGGAACCAAAGUAUACCUUUAGCAGUAAAAGACUCAAAUCAGCAAAUGGGACGUGAAAUUAGUUCAUGAUGUUGUCGGUGGCUGAAAGAUUAAAAGAAAGAAGGAUUAAUCAAGAUCAAAUCUCUUUUCAUACAUCAGUCCUGUGAUCCCAGGAAUUGGUCUGGUGAACCUUCUUUGCGAUCAUUCAGUAGCCAGACCAUCCUUCCUUUGGAAAGGAGAACAAAGGUGCACACUACUGCAGGUGUGGUCUCACCAAGGCCCUUAUAGAAAGACAUCCCUCCUCCUGUACUCGAAUCCUGUCACAAUGAAGGCCGAAAUAUCAUUUGCAUUCUUCACUACUUGCUGCUGCCUGUUUCCUAAAAGAGAAUAGGAGAGAAACACGGAACUAAAUGGGGUCAGACAGUCGGGUACAAUUGUUGAACACACUGUCCCCAUUGUAUCGGUGCUGGCCAUCAAGCACCUAUUUAAGCUAGGCCCGUUUUCUGGCACUCGGUGUGUAACCUAUAUUAUGGUGCAGUGGAUGAUCAUCUCAACACUUCUUCAAGAUUGCAAUGGUUCCUGCAUCUAUUAACAUUUCAGAUGCUGCCAGAUCUACUGUGUAUCUCCAUCUUUUUCUGUUUUUAUUCCAGAUUUCGGGUAUUUUGCUGUGUAUUCUUAGUCCUUCAGAAGCAUCAGAGGGUAUGGGGAGAAAACAGGAAUUGGAUUCAUUUUCAGAUGUAUAAAAUGCCUGCCCUUCAUGUCUGUCCAAACUCUAUCUCUUUUUGUAGUUUUGGGCAAACGCUGACUGUUUCCUUUCCCUGAAGGACAUUAAAUGAACCAGUUCAGUUUUACUGAUAAUCCAGCAGUGCCCCUCAGUGUUGCAUCCACAAUUGACCAGAUUAAUUUCUGAGUUUCACAAUCUUUGUGUGUGUUCUUCUGGUUUCUCUCUCUCUCUCUCUCUCUCUCUCUCUCUCUCUCUCUCUACGUUUCUUUUUUUUCUUCAGUUUGAAAUUUUGAUUGCAUUCAGAGAAAUCAAACAAAACCACAUCCAGAUCUGACACUCAAUCUGUUUGUCAUAACCUAAUUAUCUCAGGAUUUUGAACAUUAAAGGAAGAAGCACUGUUCACACCAGGGAGAAAUGCGUAUUGUCUGUGUGUCGAAGAGUCUUUGAAGAUUCAUCUGAAAUGCCCAAACACCAGCGCAGUCACACUUGGGAGAGACUGUGGAAAUGUGGGGAUUGUGGGAAGGGAUUUAUUUACCCAUCCCAGCUGGAAAUGCACCAACGCAGUCACACUGGGGAGAAACCGUUCAUUUGCUCUGAUUGUGGGCUGGGAUUCACUCAGUCAAGCAACCUGCUGAAACACCGAGUUCACAGUGGGGAGAGACUGUUCACAUGUUCCGAGUAUGGGAAGGGAUUUGCUCGCUCACUCAACCAACCUGCUGAGACACCAGCGAGUUCACUCUGGGGACAGACCAUUCACUUGUUCUAUGUGUGGAAAGGGAUUCACUCAAUCAUCCCAACUGUUAACACACCAGCAAGUUCACCACAACCACAUUUGAAGGAUUUUGCCCUUAAAUCAAGGAAUGAACUUUGAUCUUUGGGCUGUUUGUACUGGUGUCAUUAGUCCCUGCUCAAAACUUGAUCUUCUCUUGGGAAAUAAGGUAGGGCAGGUGACUGAGGGGUCAGCAGGGGCGAGAAUAUUUUGGGGCCUAUGAUUGUAUCUCUAUUAGUUUUAAAAUAAUUAUGGAAAAGGAUAGACUUUGGUCUAAGAGUCAAAGUUUUAAAUGAGACUAAGGCCAAUUUUGACACUACUAUGCUCCUUAAAAGCACAGUAAGACCGCCUAUGUGUGGGAAUGCACGAGUUGGGUGAGAUACAAAAAAGUAUUUUACAUCAGUAUUUACUGUGAUCAAGGAUACAAAAGCUAAAGAACUUAGAGAAAUGAAUGUGUAUCUUGAAAAGUUCCAUGUUGUGGAGGAGGUGGUGCUGGAUGCCUUACAGACCAUAAAGGUGGAUAAAUCCCCAGGACCUCUUCAGGUGUAUUCUCGAACUUUGCGGGAAGCUAGGCUUGCAAUUGGGCCCCUUGCUCAGAUAUUUGCACCAUUGACAGUCAUAGGUGAGCUGUUACACUGGAGGUUGGCUAAUCUGGUGCCAUUGUUUAAGAAAGGUGGUAACAGAAAACCAGGGAACAAUAAACUUUUGGUGAGCCUGACGUCAGCUGUGGGUAAGUUGUUGGAGGGAAUUCUGAGGGAUAGGAUUUACAUAUAUUUGGAAAGCGUGGACUGAAUGGGGAAUAGUCGACAUGGCUUUGUCCAUAGGAAAUUAUGUCUUACUAACUUGAUUGAGUUUUUUUGAAGAAGUUAGAAACAAGAUUGAUGGCAGAGCGGUGGAUGUUUUCGAUAUUCCGCAUGGUCGACUGAUUAACAAGGUUAGAUCACAUGGAAUCCAGGGAGAGCUGGCCAUUUGGAAAGGCGUUUGACCUGCAGUAUGCUGCAAGGAUUGGUACUUAGUAGCUAUAACUCGUACAUUCACAUCCAAAUCAUCUUUAUAAAUGACAAAAUGGAGUGGACCCAGCUCUGAUCCUUGCAGCACACCACUGGUCACAGGCCUCCAGUCUACAAAGCAACCCUCCACCAGCACUCCGUCUUCUACCUUCAAGUCAGAUCUGUUUCCAAAUGACUGGUUCUCUCUGUAUUCCAUGUGAUCUGACCUUGCUCAUCAGUCUACCAUGAGGAACCUUGUCAAACGCCUUAGUGACAUCCAUAUAGAAUACAUCCACCUCUUUGCGCUAUUCAAUCCUCUUUGUUCCUCCAUCAAAAAAAAAUCAAGUCAGUGAGACAUGAUUUCCUACACACACAGCCAUGUUGAUUAUCCCUAAUCAGUCCCUCCCUUUCCAAAUAUUUCAAGUACUAUCCCUCAGGAUUCCUAGAACGACUUUCCCACCACUAAUAUCAGGCUCACUGGCCUAUAGUUCCCUGGCUUUUCCUUACCACCUUUCUUAAAUAGUGGCACCACAUUAGCCAACUUCUGGUCCCUCACCUGUGGAUAUCGAUGACACAAAUAU